GACGAACGCUGGCGGCGUGCUUAACACAUGCAAGUCGAACGGAAAGGCCCUGCUUUUGUGGGGUGCUCGAGUGGCGAUCGGGUGAGUAACACGUGAGUAACCUGCCCUUGACUUUGGGAUAACUUCAGGAAACUGGGGCUAAUACCGGAUAGGAGCUCCUGCUGCAUGGUGGGGGUUGGAAAGUUUCGGCGGUUGGGGAUGGACUCGCGGCUUAUCAGCUUGUUGGUGGGGUAGUGGCUUACCAAGGCUUUGACGGGUAGCCGGCCUGAGAGGGUGACCGGCCACAUUGGGACUGAGAUACGGCCCAGACUCCUACGGGAGGCAGCAGUGGGGAAUAUUGCACAAUGGGCGGAAGCCUGAUGCAGCAACGCCGCGUGCUGGAUGACGGCCUUCGGGUUGUAAACCGCUUUCGCCUGUGACGAAGCGUGAGUGACGGUAAUGGGUAAAGAAGCACCGGCUAACUACGUG
rnacentral:rRNA from 1 species